CUACGGGAUGCUCCAGUGGGGAAUAUUGCACAAUGGGGGAAACCCUGAUGCAGCAACGCCGCGUGGAGGAUGACGCAUUUCGGUGUGUAAACUCCUUUUAUAUAGGAAGAUAAUGACGGUACUAUAUGAAUAAGCACCGGCUAACUCCGUGCCAGCAGCCGCGGUAAUACGGAGGGUGCAAGCGUUACUCGGAAUCACUGGGCGUAAAGCGCACGCAGGCGGCCCCUUAAGUUGGAUGUGAAAGCCUACGGCUUAACCGUAGAACUGCAUCCAAAACUGAGGGGCUAGAGUCUGGGAGGGGAAGAUGGAAUUAGUUGUGUAGGGGUAAAAUCCGUAGAGAUAACUAGGAAUACCAAAAGCGAAGGCGAUCUUCUGGAACAGUACUGACGCUGAGGCGCGAAAGCGUGGGGAGCAAACAGGAUUAGAUACCCUUGUAGUC
rnacentral:rRNA from 1 species